rnacentral:tRNA from 1 species
UUAGUUAAAGCCAAAUAGAGGCAUAUUAUUGUUAAUAAUAUCAUUGAGCUUUAAUCUCUAAUUAAA